UGUAGUUCAGUUUUCGUUUUCUGUAUUUUCUUUCAUAUUUAACCGAGCAAAAUGAUGAAUUACUGCAGGGUAUUUGAUCGAGAGAAGGUAACUAACUUUAAAAGCGAUCACAGACUGCCUGCAGUGGUAAAAAUCCAUGGUGAAGGAACUAUAACCAUAAACGGAGGAGAGACGGCGAGGUGGCUUUGAAUCAAGACUCCUCGGAAAAGAAAUUGAUCAGGCAUUUCCCACCAAGCCACACUGAUUGGGUGCAAGUAAAUUAUAUAUAUAUAAAAAA